rnacentral:lncRNA from 1 species
UAUAUAUUCACUGCAUCUCAAUCUCAAUUGUAAUCCAUCCAUAUCCCAUGAAAUGUUCUUCCCAAAACGAACUCCACAAUAAGCUAUUCCCAUUUCUCCCAACAACUGGUGCACCCUCAAGUAAAGAAAUUGUCUGAGUAAGAGCGGCCAGAAGUAGAAAAGUGGCGGCCAAUGAAGAUCAGAGACGGAGAAGAGCGACACGAGCUUGAUGAAAUGCGACACCAUGCAGGGGGGUCACGGCCCUCCCAUACAGAUUAACCCAUGAUUGCGGGUAGUUCCAAAAAUAGUAGUAGUAAAAUGGGAAUGGCAAUAUGACACCUACCCAUGCACGCCAAUAUUCCUAUUUUUGUUCUUCUUCCUUUUUGUUUUGCAGGAGCAGAUGUAGAUUUCUCUUUGUUGCUUUUUGUGGCUGAAAAGUUAGUUAGAUUUUCUAACAUUUGUUUGAUCUUCGAUUGUACUGUAAAUCUUAAUUAGUUUCUAUUAUUUUUUGGUUAAAUAUUUUGAUAAAAUUGAGUCUUUUUUAUGCUAUUUUUCUUUCUUUGCAAAGGAUAAAAAAUCUCACAUUCGUUUACGUUAUUGCUCUAUUUUUUUUUCUUUGUUUAAAGCUUCUUGCGCUCUUUCUUUUUCUUCUUUCUAUUAAUCUUCCUGUUAUCUUUUUCCUUUCCUUUCUGAUCUAUUUUAAUUAGAUUGAUGAAGUCAAGAUGAAUGCUCUUUUUUGAUUAGUCAUCUUGCACUCUUUUUCUCAACUUUUUCUGCAACAAUCGAUUUCUUUCCUUCUUUUUAGCUUGAUGAAGUCUAGAUGAAUGUUCUGCUUUGUUGAAUGGUCAUUUCUACAACUUUGUUCUUCUUCCAUUUUUCUUUUUAUUUUCUUUUAUAUAGUCUAUUUUUGCUAACUUUUUUCCUUUUUCUAUUAGUGUUUAUUAUCAUUAUUAUUAUUAUUAUUAUUAUUAUUAUUAUUAUUAUUAUUAUUAUUAUUUUAUCAUUUGUCGAUUUGAGAAUAGCAAUUUUAUGUAAAUAAUCAUUUUGGUUUUUCUUAAUUUUUUCGGAUAGGUAGAGAGAGAAGCGAUGGACAUAUAUAUUGCGAACAACAAAGAACCUA